GUGCUUCCUUUGGUUGUCCAGCUACAAAAAUUGUGGUAAUUUAAAGAUUAGCAUGGUCUCUGCACAAAGCAGAAAUUCUAAUUCAUGAUGUAUUCCACAGUUUU
ensembl:snRNA U6 U6 spliceosomal RNA